rnacentral:rRNA from 1 species
UGGGGAAUAUUGGACAAUGGGGGCAACCCUGAUCCAGCAAUGCCGCGUGUGUGAAGAAGGCCUUCGGGUUGUAAAGCUCUUUCGGCGGGGACGAAACGGUUCGUGACAACACCACGGACUAAUGACGGUACUCGCAGAAGAAGCACCGGCUAACUACGUGCCAGCAGCCGCGGUAAUACGUAGGGUGCAGGCGUUAAUCGGAAUUACUGGGCGUAAAGCGUGCGCAGGCGGCUCCUUAAGUCAGAUGUGAAAUCCCCGGGCUUAACCUGGGAACUGCGUUUGAAACUGGGGGGCUAGAGUGUGGAAGAGGGGGGUGGAAUUCCAGGUGUAGCAGUGAAAUGCGUAGAGAUCUGGAGGAACACCGAUGGCGAAGGCAGCCCCCUGGGCUAACACUGACGCUCAUGCACGAAAGCGUGGGGAGCAAACAGGAUUAGAUACCCUGGUAGUCCACGCCCUAAACGAUGUCAACUAGUUGUUAGGGAAGCAAUUCCUUGGUAACGAAGCUAACGCGUGAAGUUGACCGCCUGGGGAGUACGGCCGCAAGGUUA